rnacentral:rRNA from 1 species
UACGGAGGGUGCAAGCGUUAUCCGGAUUCACUGGGUUUAAAGGGAGCGUAGGUGGCUUUGUAAGUCAGUGGUGAAAUGUCGCGGCUCAACCGCGAAACUGCCAUUGAUACUGCUUAGCUUGAAUCACGUCGAGGUGGAUGGAAUAAUACAUGUAGCGGUGAAAUGCUUAGAUAUGUAUUAGAACACCGAUUGCGAAGGCAGUUCACUAGGCGUGUAUUGACACUGAGGCUCGAAAGCGUGGGGGAUCAAACAGG